rnacentral:sRNA from 1 species
GAUAUCAAAAUUCAGUUGAUGAAAACACACUAAAUUCUGGUAACGAGGGUGGCUACAGGGAGAUAACUCAGAUUUUAAUUGUGAUGCAAAGCCUCCCUCUCUGUGUGAAGAUUUAAAUGACAUAAUAUUGUAAUUGACUUCCGUUAUUUUUUUUUUCGUGUGUGGGGUUUUGUUGUUUACUGUAAAUAAAGUAACAGGACACAAGCAUUUUAUCAAUUUUCACAAAUAAAGAAGUUCACAAC